CCAAUUGCAGCAGGAGUGCAUCAGGGC
rnacentral:piRNA from 1 species